rnacentral:rRNA from 1 species
UACAGAGGUGGCAAGCGUUGUUCGGAAUUAUUGGGCGUAAAGAGCUCGUAGGCGGUCUGUCGCGUCGGUCGUGAAAACUUGGGGCUUAACCCCGAGCUUGCGGUCGAUACGGGCAUGACUGGAGUUCGGCAGGGGAGACUGGAAUUCCUGGUGUAGCGGUGAAAUGCGCAGAUAUCAGGAGGAACACCGGUGGCGAAGGCGGGUCUCUGGGCCGAUACUGACGCUGAGGAGCGAAAGCGUGGGGAGCAAACAGG